ACAGCGCAUGCGCGUUAGGCUGCUGCCUGCGGGGAAAAUGGUGCUCGUCAAGGAAUUCCGCGUGGUCCUGCCGUGCUCGGUGCAGGAGUACCAGGUCGGACAGCUCUACUCCGUGGCCGAAGCCAGCAAAAACGAGACGGGAGGCGGAGAAGGCAUCCAGGUCUUGACCAACGAGCCUUACGAGAAGGAUGGGGAGAAGGGCCAGUACACACACAAGAUCUACCACCUGAAGAGCAAAGUGCCUGGCUUUGUACGGAUGUUCGCUCCAGAAGGCUCCCUAGUAUUUCACGAAAAAGCCUGGAAUGCAUAUCCUUAUUGUAGAACAGUCGUUACAAAUGAAUACAUGAAAGAGGAUUUUUUUAUCAAAAUUGAGACUUGGCAUAAGGCUGACUUGGGCACAUCAGACAAUGUCCAUGACUUGGAUCCCAAUACAUGGAAAAACGUGGAAGUUGUUCAUAUCGAUAUAGCAGACAGAAACCAAGUGGAGCCUGGAGACUACAAAGCUGAUGAAGACCCUGCAUUGUUCCAGUCGGUCAAAACUAAAAGAGGCCCUUUGGGGACGGACUGGAAGAAGGAGUUGGCAGCGGCUGAAGAUUGUCCCAAGAUGUGUGCUUACAAGCUGGUGACCAUCAAGUUUAAGUGGUGGGGAUUGCAGAAUAAAAUUGAGAAUUUCAUUCAGAAGCAAGAAAAGAGGAUAUUCACCAACUUCCAUCGGCAGCUUUUCUGCUGGAUCGACCGAUGGAUCGACCUGACGAUGGAAGACAUCCGGCGAAUGGAGGAUGAAACCCAAAGAGAGCUGGAGGCGAUGCGUAAGAAGGGUUGUGUUCGAGGAACAUUGGCUGCCAGCGCCUAGAGGAAGCCCUCGGUAGGGUCAGAGGCAGGCAAAUAAUCCCACUAUAGCACAUCCGUUGUAGUCUAGACGGGUUUUCUCAGGCUGGCCCCGGCAGAAGUUCCAGGACAGCCUCUUCCUAAAUAUUUGCGCAAUCAAGGAGAAGUGAGAGGAACAAGUGCGGCGAAUGAUGAAUGAAGAAAAGCAUCUUGUGCGUCUGGUGUCACAAUCCACCCUUGGGGUGCGAGUGGGUGCACAGUUCUUUACACGUUUGUACAUGCAUGCACACAGAAACAUGUACACAUACACACUGGGUGCACACUUGUACUGAGCUGCUGCUCCAAGGCACCGGGAUCUCCCCAAGAGGCCCUGCCUUUGUGCUGUAUAUCCAAAGCUAAUUAAACCCACCUAGUGUCAAUUAAUGGAAGAAGAGAAUGAAUUAUAUCAAUUGGAACAUUUUGAAACUACAGAUGCCGGACCAAUUUACUUUUAUCUUUUAUAAUAUACACGAGAGAUUCUCCUUGCUCAGGCUCAGUUAUCUCUGUUUAGAUUAUUAGACGAGCAUCAGCAAUUAAUUUUUCCAAUUUGUGUGGUUCAUUCAUGAUUUGGUAUAGACCUUCUGAAUGUAUUUAAAGAUAUUUAUUUCUGAAUUAUCAUUUUCUUGAAAUCGGAUCACUAGCAAGGAUCAAUUUCUUGCUAUUGAGUUUUGUUUUGUUUUGUUUUUUACAAAAAAAAUUUUUUUCAUCCAUUUGCUGCAAAGAGAUCUAUUUUAUUGGAUUUUUGUAUAUAAAGAGUCAAGGGUUUCUUCGUUAGAAUUGGCAAAAAAAAAAAAAAAGCUUGUCUGUAAAAAGGGAACACACGGGAAUAUGAAUCUUUGUUUUUUAGAACUGUUCAUGGACUCAGUUCAGUCUGAAGGACUCAGCCUCAUAAUGCUCUGUUCAGAAUGUUCCUAGGUCUUCCGCUGUGUCGUCCCAAGAAACUGCAUAAGCUCUGUUUUGCAUCAACUAUAGGAAAAGUUGACAUUUAUCCAGUACCCUUUGGAAACGUGAUAUCCUGACUUGGAAAACCUUCAACAGAUUUCUUAAAGAAGAGAGGAUCCUGGCAGCAACGUAUUCCAGGCCUAGUUAAGUGGGAGGGCGGUCAGUUUGGCUUGCCCCACAGGGGAUCUACGGGCCCUGAGGCUCCAAGGGCCAAUGCAAGGGCCCUUUAUCCAUCCAUUUUCUGGAAGUGAGGCUCGUGUGUGCCUGAAUUUGAUGGCUCAGCUUCUCUAGCUCCGGCCGCAAAGGAAGGAUUGCACGUUCCCCCAUUGGAGAAUUGGCUUUGUAAAUACAUAUUUGUAGAGGUUGAUCAUUUAGGCUGCUGCUAAUUCAAGGGCUUGCUGUCUUUAGUGCAGGAAUCUGCUCCCGUCAGUACCAAGGAGAGCACCGAAUGCCAGGCUCUGCCUCAUUCGGGGCAGGAUUAGAUGUGAACAUUUGAGAGGACGUUUUGUAGUGAAUGUAAAAUGAUUACUUCUGCAGUUUCUAGUUUUAACUGCAUUAAGAAAAUUUAAAUAAAUUUCCUUAUAAAACAUC